CAGUUGGGAAGCUGUUCCAAAGAGGGUGACAGGCCCGUAUGCGAAAUCUUGUACUCUCUAAUCAGGAUCCUGAGUACGGCCCAGCACGUGAAAUUGGGUCGGAAUCUGGGAGGACCAUCUCCCAAGGCUAAAUACUAACUAGUGACCGAUAGCGAACAAGUACCGUGAGGGAAAGGUGAAAAGAACCYUUUA
rnacentral:rRNA from 1 species